rnacentral:lncRNA from 1 species
ACACAUAUCUAUUUUAUCUUAGGAUGUACCACUACCACCUAACUUUUCUUCAUUUUCCUCAUCCUCAUCUUCAUCAAUCAUAUUCAUACAUUCAUCACAACAACACAUAAUUUUUUUUAUUUUAUAUAUAUGGUGGACCAUCACAACAACCCAAAUUCAUGAUUUUCUUCCUAUACACGCGGAAAAAAAAACAAACAUUUUCAACCCUCAAACCUCUUCUCUUCAAUCACACACAUAAUUCAUCUCCAAAUUCCCAAUUUCUCUGCCAUUUUCACAGUGUUUACGACCCAUUUUAUAAAAUCUCGUUUUUGUCUAAGUUUGUGUCAAAGUUUGGAUUUUUAUUGUGGUAGAAGUACCCAUGAGACCCUUUUCGACAGACAACAGAGUGGGUGGAACAUAAGCUGGUUUCAAUACAGAAAUUGAACAGAAAACGCAACUGAGUGGGUGGACCAUCACUUUAUUCCUUCCUUGUCUUUCCUUCUCCCAAAACAACAACAAGUUUAGGAAUUGGGAAAUUCAAUUUGGGGAUUUUGGAAUUGGGAAUUAGGGUUUGGGUUUGUUUGGAAUUGGAAUUGGAAUUGAAAUCCAAUAUUUGAACGAGAGAAGGAAAGUUAAGGAAGUUUUUUUAUUUUUGUUUUACGGUUGGGGCUUGAUGUUGGUGGAAGCAACAAUGGAGAAGAUGAUGGUGUUGACAGUAACGAAGAGGUAUGGAAGAGUGAAGCAUAAGAGGAAGAAGUUCCAUAGGAAAGUGAGGUUAGUGGUGGCUGAUGGAAGAAAUGAUUUCGAAUUUCAAUCUGAACACCGUGGAAAUAACAGUGAAGGAAAAUAACAAAUUUUUUAUUGUUUUUUUUUUCUUUCUUCUGGGUUUGGGGUUGUUGUGAUGAAUAUAUGAAGAUGUAGAAGAGAAAAAUGAAGAAAAGGAAAAAAAAAAAAGGUUAGGUGGUACUGGUAUAGCGUAAGAUAAAAUAGAUAUGUGUAUCCAACGGUCAUCUUUCUUUAAAAAAGAUCAAACGGUUAAAAUUAGUCCAUCAUAGAUAUUAUUUGGGUUAAACUUAAUUGUUAGGAUUUAUUUUGUAAACGGAGGAAAAAUUGAGGGACCAAAAUAUACGUUUUAUUAAUUGUGGGACCAAAAUGAAAACUUGAAAUUAUUUGAGCAACCAUUGGAUCAAAUAAGCCUUUAUUUUUUUUUAAUUUUUUUGACUUGAUAGAUGAAAUGGUAAAGUCAUCAUAAACUCACACACACAAGUGAAGAUGUCGGAUUUGAACCCG